CGGCGGCCGCCCGCGCUCGUGCCGAGCAGCACCGGGCUGAGCUGGAGGGCCGUGUCGGGGAGCUGCAGGCGGCGCUGGGAGAUGCCGAGCGGCAGCGGGAGCUGCGGGAGGCCGAGGGCCAGGCGUUGCGCCAGGAGCUGAAAGACGUCCGAGAUGGGCAGCGCAUCCUGGAGAAGAAAGGCAGCGCGGCGGUGAGGGUCCCCAGGGGGCUGGGGUGCCGU